UUUGUUGGGUUAACGUCGCGACUUAUCGUGCAGUCGACGAUGACCGGUUUCGCCGGGGAUUAGUGGCGAACGGGUGAGUAACACGUGGGCAAUCUGCCUGCACUCUGGGACAAGCCCUGGAAACGGGGUCUAAUACCGGAUACGACCUUCGAGCGCAUGCUUGAGGGUGGAAAGCUCCGGCGGUGCAGGAUGAGCCCGCGGCCUUAUCAGCUUGUUGGUGGGGUGAUGGCCUACCAAGGCGACGACGGGUAGCCGGGCCUGAGAGGCGACCGGCCACACUGGGGACUGAGACACGGCCCAGACUCCUACCGGGAGGCAGCAGUGGGGGAAUAUUGCACAAUGGGGCGAAAGCCUGAUGCAGCGACCGCCGCGUGAAGGGAUGACGGCCCUUCGGGUUGGAAACCUUCUUUCACCAGGGAAGAAGCAGAGUGACGUUCCUGCCAGGAAGAAGCGCCGGUUACUUACGUGCCAGCGGCGGGGGAAAUCCGUAGGGGGCAGGUUUGUCCGGAAUUUUUGGGCGAAAAGAGCUUGUAGGCGGCUUUGUCGUGCCGAAAUGUAAAAGCCCGGGGUUUAACCCCGGGCUCUGUAUUCGUAUACGGGCUGGUCAAUAUUCGGUAGGGAAAUCGGAAUUCCUUGGUGUAGCGGGAAAUGCGCAAUUUCGGGGAAAACCCGGUGGCGAAGGGGGCUUUUGGCCGAUUCUACGCUGAGGAAGCAAAGCUGGGGGCCACAGAUUAGAACCCCUGGUAGCCCACGCGGAAACGGUGGGACAUUGGGUGUGGCCAAUUUCCCAAGUUGUCGUGCAGGAAACUGAAGUAUUAGUGUCCCCGCGAUGGCGAUACCGGCAAGAUAGACUGAACCCUUAAUGUGUAGUUGUGAGGGGCGUUGCU
rnacentral:rRNA from 2 species